ACUCUAAGCGGUGGAUCACUCGGCUCAUGGGUCGAUGAAGAACGCAGCAAACUGUGCGUCAUCGUGUGAACUGCAGGACACAUGAACAUCGACAUUUUGAACGCAUAUCGCAGUCCAUGCUGUUAUGUACUUUAAUUAAUUUUAUAGUGCUGCUUGGACUACAUAUGGUUGAGGGUUGUAAGACUAUGCUAAUUAAGUUGCUUAUAAAUUUUUAUAAGCAUAUGGUAUAUUAUUGGAUAAAUAUAAUAAUUUUUAUUCAUAAUAUUAAAAAAUAAAUGAAAAACAUUAUCUCACAUUUGAAUGUGAAAAACGAAGAGAAAUAUUUUCUUUUUCAAUCAAAUAAUACUGAGAAAUGUCUAGCAUAAAAAAUUGAAAUAUUUUUCAUCUAGAAUUGUCUCUUAUUAAUGAUUCGGAAAUAGAAAAAUCUUGGUUAUGUUAUUAUUCUUCGUUGGUUCGUUAAAAAUGGAUAAAUAAAAACUUUGCAUACAAGAAUUAAUAAAAAUGUUAUAACGAAUUUAAUUAAAUGUUUUAUCAUUAUAUAUAAAGAAUUUAUGGCAAGAUAAAGUUAUAUACAACCUCAACUCAUAUGGGACUACCCCCUGAAUUUAAGCAUAUUAAUUAGGGGAGGAAAAGAAACUAACAAGGAUUUUCUUAGUAGCGGCGAGCGAAAAGAAAACAGUUCAGCACUAAGUCACUUUGUCUAUAUGGCAAAUGUGAGAUGCAGUGUAUGGAGCGUCAAUAUUCUAGUAUGAGAAAUUAACGAUUUAAGUCCUUCUUAAAUGAGGCCAUUUACCCAUAGAGGGUGCCAGGCCCGUAUAACGUUAAUGAUUACUAGAUGAUGUUUCCAAAGAGUCGUGUUGCUUGAUAGUGCAGCACUAAGUGGGUGGUAAACUCCAUCUAAAACUAAAUAUAACCAUGAGACCGAUAGUAAACAAGUACCGUGAGGGAAAGUUGAAAAGAACUCUGAAUAGAGAGUUAAACAGUACGUGAAACUGCUUAGAGGUUAAGCCCGAUGAACCUGAAUAUCCGUUAUGGAAAAUUCAUCAUUAAAAUUGUAAUAUUUAAAUAAUAUUAUGAGAAUAGUGUGCAUUUUUUCCAUAUAAGGACAUUGUAAUCUAUUAGCAUAUACCAAAUUUAUCAUAAAAUAUAACUUAUAGUUUAUUCCAAUUAAAUUGCUUGCAUUUUAACACAGAAUAAAUGUUAUUAAUUUGAUAAAGUGCUGAUAGAUUUAUAUGAUUACAGUGCGUUAAUUUUUCGGAAUUAUAUAAUGGCAUAAUUAUCAUUGAUUUUUGUGUUUAUUAUAUGCACUUGUAUGAUUAACAAUGCGAAAGAUUCAGGAUACCUUCGGGACCCGUCUUGAAACACGGACCAAGGAGUCUAACAUAUGUGCAAGUUAUUGGGAUAUAAACCUAAUAGCGUAAUUAACUUGACUAAUAAUGGGAUUAGUUUUUUAGCUAUUUAUAGCUAAUUAACACAAUCCCGGGGCGUUCUAUAUAGUUAUGUAUAAUGUAUAUUUAUAUUAUUUAUGCCUCUAACUGGAACGUACCUUGAGCAUAUAUGCUGUGACCCGAAAGAUGGUGAACUAUACUUGAUCAGGUUGAAGUCAGGGGAAACCCUGAUGGAAGACCGAAACAGUUCUGACGUGCAAAUCGAUUGUCAGAAUUGAGUAUAGGGGCGAAAGACCAAUCGAACCAUCUAGUAGCUGGUUCCUUCCGAAGUUUCCCUCAGGAUAGCUGGUGCAUUUUAAUAUUAUAUAAAAUAAUCUUAUCUGGUAAAGCGAAUGAUUAGAGGCCUUAGGGUCGAAACGAUCUUAACCUAUUCUCAAACUUUAAAUGGGUAAGAACCUUAACUUUCUUGAUAUGAAGUUCAAGGUUAUGAUAUAAUGUGCCCAGUGGGCCACUUUUGGUAAGCAGAACUGGCGCUGUGGGAUGAACCAAACGUAAUGUUACGGUGCCCAAAUUAACAACUCAUGCAGAUACCAUGAAAGGCGUUGGUUGCUUAAAACAGCAGGACGGUGAUCAUGGAAGUCGAAAUCCGCUAAGGAGUGUGUAACAACUCACCUGCCGAAGCAACUAGCCCUUAAAAUGGAUGGCGCUUAAGUUGUAUACCUAUACAUUACCGCUAAAGUAGAUGAUUUAUAUUACUUGUGAUAUAAAUUUUGAAACUUUAGUGAGUAGGAAGGUACAAUGGUAUGCGUAGAAGUGUUUGGCGUAAGCCUGCAUGGAGCUGCCAUUGGUACAGAUCUUGGUGGUAGUAGCAAAUAAUCGAAUGAGACCUUGGAGGACUGAAGUGGAGAAGGGUUUCGUGUGAACAGUGGUUGAUCACGAGUUAGUCGGUCCUAAGUUCAAGGCGAAAGCCGAAAAUUUUCAAGUAAAACAAAAAUGCCUAACUAUAUAAACAAAGCGAAUUAUAAUACACUUGAAUAAUUUUGAACGAAAGGGAAUACGGUUCCAAUUCCGUAACCUGUUGAGUAUCCGUUUGUUAUUAAAUAUGGGCCUCGUGCUCAUCCUGGCAACAGGAACGACCAUAAAGAAGCCGUCGAGAGAUAUCGGAAGAGUUUUCUUUUCUGUUUUAUAGCCGUACUACCAUGGAAGUCUUUCGCAGAGAGAUAUGGUAGAUGGGCUAGAAGAGCAUGACAUAUACUGUUGUGUCGAUAUUUUCUCCUCGGACCUUGAAAAUUUAUGGUGGGGACACGCAAACUUCUCAACAGGCCGUACCAAUAUCCGCAGCUGGUCUCCAAGGUGAAGAGUCUCUAGUCGAUAGAAUAAUGUAGGUAAGGGAAGUCGGCAAAUUAGAUCCGUAACUUCGGGAUAAGGAUUGGCUCUGAAGAUUGAGAUAGUCGGGCUUGAUUGGGAAACAAUAACAUGGUUUAUGUGCUCGUUCUGGGUAAAUAGAGUUUCUAGCAUUUAUGUUAGUUACUUGUUCCCCGGAUAGUUUAGUUACGUAGCCAAUUGUGGAACUUUCUUGCUAAAAUUUUUAAGAAUACUAUUUGGGUUAAACCAAUUAGUUCUUAUUAAUUAUAACGAUUAUCAAUUAACAAUCAAUUCAGAACUGGCACGGACUUGGGGAAUCCGGACUGUCUAAUUAAAACAAAGCAUUGGCUAGCGGUGUUACACAAUUGAUUCUGCCCAGUGCUCUGAAUGUCAAGUGAAAAUUCAAGUAAGCGCGUGUCAACGGCGGAGUAACUAUGACUCUCUUAAGGUAGUCCCAAAUGCCUCGUCACGUAAUUAGUGACGCGCAUGAAUGGAUUAACGACGGACGUGUUUUCGUUGCGCUCGUGGACAUAGUGCGAAGAACUUUGUUUUCCGUAUUUGGAAGUAUACGAAUAAAUAAUUUAGUGUUCCGUGGAAGUGUGCGCAAAUUUUCGCGAAUUAAAAACAAGCGGUUUGGAAGUAAUUGACAAUAAAUUAUUGGAAAUUUUCCACUCCGCACGUGUUGAGCGGCGAGCUUGCGGUGAGCUUUUCGAACAGCUGAGAGAAGCUUAUUGGUGGUAGUCACCGCUAAGGAUUGUGUCUUGGGACAGCUUAGUGCACUCUACAAUAGGUGGAGCUAUCACCAUAGCAACUAGCCGUGUCAGCGAGCAUACGAUUGCUGGACUCGUCAAAAGGAGGACCACCAUCGGAGCAACGCCGAUGGAGAGCGACAGCAGUGUGAGUGC
rnacentral:rRNA from 1 species